ACCAAUAGCAUUUAAAAAGAAGACAUCAACGUUAACUUUAAUCCCUUGUCUUUGUCAUACACACGUUUGGUCCAGCUGAGCAUCCCAAAUCAGUGAUCACUAUGUUUCUAAGGGUGUUGUAUAUUUCCACAAGCUUGUGAUAGACUCCUGUAUCGAACGCUUCAUCCUGUUUUGCCCUGCAUUCUAGGAGCGAAGUAUAUGUUUUGUUCAGAUUUUUUUAACAUUCUAACUGUUCAGCUCUGCUAACAGAAACAAACAUCUAAUCAUACGCUCUAGGUUACUAAAUCCUUAUGGUGGUUUGGACAAACACAAAAAAAAAAACUUUCCAAUUAGGACCUAA
rnacentral:lncRNA from 1 species